UUACUAAAAAUACAAAUUUUUAAUUUAACAUCUCGCUGUUGCUUAAUAUAGCUCCUUAAUUAUAGCUGUGCAUUUUCAAAAUUUAGUGUGAAAAAUAGAGAAAAUAGGGUGGAUAUUCUAUUUUCAGUCCACGAAAUGUUCGCAGUGCUGAAUCGCAGGUGCUUGGGCAGAUACUGAUGACCAUAUGUUAAACUGAUUUAAGACGGAUAACUGGAUAAGGAUAACUGGCUUAUCGAUGAAUUUUAAAGGAGUUAUCACUUUUCUGCAAGUCAAAAUUAUGUAAAGUUUCUGGGACUUUGAAGUUCAUUGGGAUGAAGAUACUUUAAUAAUGAGAAGAUAAGUCUGCAG